rnacentral:lncRNA from 1 species
UGCUUCGCACGUUUUCGUAUCCGCCGCACUUGUGCAAAAACUGGGUUUACAGCCCCUCACUAGCCACGUAGCUACUUGCGUGCUAGGAGAUGGCGCAAAUAGCGUCCGCCUCCAAGGUCAGGUGCAUAUGUCGCUCCGUAUUCACGGAUUCCGCUGCGAAAUCGUAGCACAAGUUAUCCCUAAGCUAGCCGAUGGCAUCGACCUAAUUCUCGGCAGCCGUUGGAUGCGAGAGCACAGUGCAUUACUAGACUUUGGACAAGGCACCUGCAUGGUGACGCGCCACGGCCGCUCAUAUCGGCUGCAGAGCCUAAACAGGCCGCAGUCCGAAGGUGUUGCGGUCAUGAACUACGUGACGGCGGUCUUACACGCGGCCACUUCACCUUGCGCGAACCUGGUGUCUCUAAAGCAGAUUAAAAAGCUGCAGAAACAAGGAGCGUCUUGUUACGCUGCCUUCAUAACCAGUGACGAUAUCGCCCAGCUAAACGCUAUGGACGCCACAACGGCGACCACGUCCGACCCUACCCUGGUGUCGCCAGAUAAACUGGAAGAACUGCUGGACGAAUAUAAGGAGGUUUUUGAGCCCUUAACGGGCCUCGGGCCGGAUCUCGGCACUGGCCACACAAUCGAGCUAGAAACUGGCAAAAAGCCACCGUACUCCCGGCCGUACCGACUUUCCCAGUUGGAGCAAACGGAGUUGAAAAAGCAGCUCGCGGACUUACUGGCCAAAGGCUUCAUCGAGGAAUCAAAAUCGCCCUUCGGCGCGCCCGUACUCUUCGCACAAAAGAAGGACGGCUCGCUGCGUAUGUGCCUCGACUUCCGCGCCCUCAACAAAAUCACCGUAAAAAACCGGUAUCCACUUCCAAACAUCACCGACCUCCUCAACAAACUUCAGGGUGCGAGCAUAUUCUCGUCCCUCGACCUACAAAGCGGCUAUCAUCAAAUCCGCAUCACGGAGGAGGACAUCCCCAAAACCAGCUUCAUAACACCCUUCGGACNNNNNNNNNNNNNNNNNNNNNNNNNNNNNNNNNNNNNNNNNNNNNNNNNNGGAAAAGUCCAAGUGUUCUGCACUAGAACCUCUGACUGAAAACACCGCGCUACUACUACCGUGCAACUUUACUAGCACAAAAGCUGUCGCCUUAGUCGACUCAGGUGCUUCGCACGUUUUCGUAUCCGCCGCACUUGUGCAAAAACUGGGUUUACAGCCCCUCACUAGCCACGUAGCUACUUGCGUGCUAGGAGAUGGCGCAAAUAGCGUCCGCCUCCAAGGUCAGGUGCAUAUGUCGCUCCGUAUCCACGGAUUCCGCUGCGAAAUCGUAGCACAAGUUAUCCCUAAGCUAGCCGAUGGCAUCGACCUAAUUCUCGGCAGCCGUUGGAUGCGAGAGCACAGUGCAUUACU